GUAUUAGUUACCUGUGUUUGGGGAAAUGCUCAGGUAAGAGCUAUUAAUCUACACCUGUGCUCCUUCAGUUACCUGUGUUUGGGGAAAUGCUCAGCAAUAUGAAAAAACUCGAAACCAGGAUUCGGUAAGAACCGGAUUCAAUAUGCAGAAUCAGCGGCCGAUCUCAGCUCAGCUCAGCUGCGCAGUUCAGCCACUGCAGGACCACAGGACUACAGCAGGCUGUGUGCAGGACCACAGGACUACAGCAGGCUGUGUGCAGGACCACAGGACUACAGCAGGCUAUGUGCAGCACCACAGGACAAUAGAAGGCUGUGUGCAAGACCACAGGACUACAGCAGGCUGUGUGCAGGACCACAGGACUAAAGCAGGCUGUGUGCAGCUAUAGGACUACAGCAGGCUGUGUGCAGGACCACAGGACUACAGCAGGCUGUGUGCAACUAUAGGACUACAGCAGGACCAAAGGACUAUAGCAGCUGCGGGGGUUCAAGCAGGGGCAGUGUGAGCAUCCAGGUAGUGAGUAUGCUCCUCCCACUAUGAAUAUGCCCCUCCCACAAUUAAUGUGCUCCGCCCACCAUUAAUAGGCUCCUCCCACCAUGAAUAUUCUCCUCCCACCAUGAAUAUGCUACACCCACCAUGAAUAAAUUUUUGACAUCACUAAAUUGAACAAAGUCCAGAAACCAAUGCUAUACCAAUAAUGCCCGUGCGUCAGAACUGUACAGUGUUGCUUCCUCAGUUUUACAUAAAGCGCACUAAUCAAUCAUUAGUUAUAUGUAAUGACAGGCCAAAGAAGUUUAGAAACUAUACAUUUCCGUUGAGCUGUCUAUAUGAGUAAUUUGCUAAAUUUGGCAAGGGCGCUUGCACUGCGAGUUUAGUCAGCAUUCUCCUGCUUUUUGCCUUCGGGAGAACUUUAACAGACAUUAAAAUCAAGGACAUAAUAAUGUCCUUAAUAUAUGAUGAGACCUCAGCGCCCAUACAGAACAGAUGUUACUGAGUAUCGUAUAAAGAUGAGAUGCUGUCAAUAAACAACUGACAUUUACAACUUGGACUUGAAAGACAAUAUUCUAAAAGUUUUACUGGAGUGAGCUGAAUAAUAUUAUAGACAUUAUGAUUGCUACAUCCAAACACAUCUUAUCAAGGACGGUGACCUGUAUCCAGUCAAAGUAACAGGACAGGAAUGAAAACGCAUUUGGGUACGAAAGGUGAAUGCUAAAUUGCAGUGGUCUCAACAAAUUUGCGCAUUUAAUUUGAUAUGAUGAAAACUGUUC